rnacentral:rRNA from 1 species
CCUGCGGAGGGAUCAUUACAAGUGACCCCGGUCUAACCACCGGGAUGUUCAUAACCCUUUGUUGUCCGACUCUGUUGCCUCCGGGGCGACCCUGCCUUCGGGCGGGGGCUCCGGGUGGACACUUCAAACUCUUGCGUAACUUUGCAGUCUGAGUAAACUUAAUUAAUAAAUUAAAACUUUUAACAACGGAUCUCUUGGUUCUGGCAUCGAUGAAGAACGCAGCGAAAUGCGAUAAGUAAUGUGAAUUGCAGAAUUCAGUGAAUCAUCGAAUCUUUGAACGCACAUUGCGCCCCCUGGUAUUCCGGGGGGCAUGCCUGUUCGAGCGUCAUUUCACCACUCAAGCCUCGCUUGGUAUUGGGCAACGCGGUCCGCCGCGUGCCUCAAAUCGACCGGCUGGGUCUUCUGUCCCCUAAGCGUUGUGGAAACUAUUCGCUAAAGGGUGUUCGGGAGGCUACGCCGUAAAACAACCCCAUUUCUAAGGUUGACCUCGGAUCAGGUAGGGAUACCCGCUGAACUUAAGCAUAUCA